GACCCGAAGCAUAGCUGAACGGGUCUGCGCGUUACAGCGGCACAGACACACAUCCUCUGUGGUAGUGCGGCUCUCGUGUGCUCACCACGGUCGAUGCACCGCCUUGUCAUCUCAACAGUCACAGCACCCCUCACACAUGCUCCUGCACAGCCGGAUGUGUGCACAUACGCGCGCGUCUCGUCCUGUAUCUCCUUGCAGGUUUUCUUUCACUGCUAGGCAUACAUCUGUCUGAGUGCGCUUGGCGGGUACACAACUCUCCCCGGUCCCCCUCUCUUCGACAGCCCCACCCAUUUGCGUCCAGCUCCGGCCACCUCCAACUCCGAGACCCUCGUGUCUCUCUCACUCUGAGUGUAUGUGUGUGUGUGUGUCCGGACGAUACCGUAAAGUGUGCAGUGGUGCGGGAUGUACAGUAUGUUGGUGUUCCAACACCUUUCGUUUUUUUUCGCGCGUGCGCCGUCCCUCCCCCUACCCUCCCUUCGGAUCCCCCGUUGACUUCGGUGUUCCUUUUCUUAUUUCCGGGGGGGGGACUUUGUGCUCGUUCCGUAUCGUUUGUCCCACCAACUGUGCUGAGCUGGAUUGUCUGUCGUGCGCCUGCACAGAGAGACACGCGCAUACCAAAGCAGACCGGCACCGGCGUAAAGAGUCGGUCGCCAUGAUAGUCAAGGACGUGUCUGUUGCGGCGCUCGCUGCAGUGGUGGAGGUGAGCUAUCUUGAGCCUACCGGCUCCACCACCUUCACCAGCCCACGAUCGAGCCCCUACCCAACGUUCUCUCCGCGCGCUACGUAUCGUGGCCUCCCCGCCUGGGCCACCGUCCACAUCAUGAUCUGCGGCAUUGUGCUGGUGUUCACGUGUCUCUCAUACCUCUUCGACCCGUGUUGAUUUGCGGUGCUACGCCGAUAUCAAAGGCAUCCCUCGUAACAUAGUCAGCGCAUCAUGCAGAUAGAGCCGCCCCUCAGCCUGCUCACUAGAGAAGGUCCAACCCCAAUUGCCUAUGCAACAGAGCAGUCGAACUUUCUCUGCAGACGGCGCUGGAGAUAUUGUGGGCCACGCGAUAGUUCGGCCAAGAGCGCCGGUCGGCCACCACUGGAUUCCGAACGUCUCGUGCUCGCGGAAUCAAUUCGAUAUGACGGAUAGCUGUGCCGCCUACGCAGCACCGCACAAAGUCCACACAGUGCCCCUCCCAGCACACAGCUCACUAAGUGAUACCGCGAGAGGCAACAACAGCGGUGAUGAGCAGUGUGCCGGUGCUGCAUACAUCGGCAAUGGCACUGAUGCGGCGGUGUUUGUCGCAAGACCGCCGGGUAGAUGUAGUGCCUCAGCGUCAGCGGCAUCCAAGGCGUGUAAGCGUUUGUGCGCCGAAAAUUAGGUGAAAGAUAUUUUCUCCUUGCCUUAUGCCUUUCACAUAAGUUUAUAUAUAUAUAUAUAUUUAUUUAUUUAUUUAUUUAUAUGCAUGUAUGCAUUUGCUGCUACCCCGGUACCUUUUUUGGGGGAGGGAGGUCACUUGCACUCUCGCUCAACUACACGCUUCCUCUCUUCUUCUUGGCUGUUUUCUUUCUUUUCCGUUCCUGUCCUCAGUGCGCCUGACUCGCACCUGCUUUUGAAAUCACCACCGCGACCCCUUCCGUAAUUGCCCUGCAUGUCUCGCUUUUCUGGUCCCCUGGCUACCCCGCCAUGUUUUUCGACCCCUCCGUACAUGUCUCUCUCUCGGACACACCGCCGACUCUUGAACCGUCGUGUCUGUUUGUGGUGCUGUGUGCCGUCCCCGAUGUACACCGCAGACUGCUGUGCACCACCACCACUACCCACCUUGCCUUAUCUCUUCAUGUCUUUACUUGAUUCUAUCUUCCUCUCUCGUCGCCAACAUCCGUGUUGGACCACUGGUGCCAUCUCGUCUGCUCUCCCCCCGCCGCUCCUUCGUGUCUGGUGGGCCGAUCCCUCUCUCCCACCCCCUCCGUUCUCCUGUUGCUCGCUUUACUUUUCUUUUUCAG
rnacentral:misc_RNA from 1 species